UACGUAGGGUGCAAGCGUUGCCCGGAUUUACUGGGCGUAAAGCGUGCGCAGGCGGUGAUGUAAGACAGGUGUGAAAUCCCCGGGCUUAACCUGGGAACUGCAUUUGUGACUGCAUCGCUGGAGUGCGGCAGAGGGGGAUGGAAUUCCGCGUGUAGCAGUGAAAUGCGUAGAUAUGCGGAGGAACACCGAUGGCGAAGGCAAUCCCCUGGGCCUGCACUGACGCUCAUGCACGAAAGCGUGGGGAGCAAACAGG
rnacentral:rRNA from 1 species